UAGUUUGGAGUGAAGCAUAUUACUGCAUGUGAUUCUAUUAGUUGAUGCUAUAAAAUGUUUGAAUAUGAUUUCAAAAUGGUAUUCUUGUGUCUUGGGACAUUUUCAAGGUACUGUAUUGAAUCGCGCAUCAGUAUAAAUAAAAUAAGGGCUUGCCAUAAUCCAGCAUAGUCACAAAAAUGUCCUAGUCUUACGUAAAUGCACAUCUAGAACUGUUAGUGUGAAAAUCAGUGUGCGCACAGGCUGGAAGAUUAAUGCUGGCACACACACAUACACCUGCACACAUGCUUAAACAUGAGUCCAUUCCCGUGUCAGGCCUCAUUGGUGUUGGCACUUUGAAGUUGUUAGCUGCUUGUUUACUGAUGCAAAUUAGCAGGUAUGCAACCUUCAGAGGAGCAGAAAGCAUGGCGAUCUCCGUGGGUGGUGAGUCCUUCUUCCAACACUUCGCCCUGACUCAUCCCUCUGCAGCCGCUGCCCCCAAAGCCCUGCAAAGUCCUGACUACCUGGAGGAAUGCUUUCAGCUGGACUCACCUGGGUCAGGCCUCUGAAGGACUGUUCAGAUGGGACAAAUAUAGAAACACAAAAUGGCAUUCAGCUGUACCACUGGGACAGAAAGCCGUCUCCUCGCCCAAAUAAGAAGAGUAAACAGCAGUCAGUCCACUGGGAUCUCCGCUGCUGUUUUCAAUGAGUAUUUCAUGUAACCAAACAUCUGAAAGAAGUCUUCCUGGCGAUGAGGGAUGGUGAGACAUCAGUCACAGAGAGCUGACAGCCGGCAGGGUUUCAUUCCAAUCAGCAUUGACGUCCCAGCAGCAAAGAAAAUGGAAAUUCACCAUGCAACUGGAAAAAUGAGGAGCAAAAGAAGCCAGUGGUUGAACAGAGGCACCAUCCGGCCUCGUGGCUCUAAGCCUGCUUUAUUGAAUUCUCUGUUGUUGUUAUGAAGACGGGGCUAAGACGGGGCCAACAGGUGCCAGCCUCGUGUGGGAUGUAGGACGAGCAUUAGGAUGUUCCCUUUGACCCCGAACAGAGCCUGGACAGCUGCAGUGUCUGUGAAUGCAGAUGAGGAAAACCCCCAGCCAGUUGGCCAGUCGGGCUGUCAGCCGGUCGGACGGCCAGUCUCCUGUGCAGAGGGCCCUGCCAAUCAUCAUCUGGUUCUUCUCAUGCUGUUCUGCACAAGUCUUUCCAUUGCUCCAGUACUGUGAUGUACCUGCUGGGGUUAAACCAAUACAUGUUUGAAGGCCAAUACCAUUACUGAGGGCUUCAAAGAAUCUGUCAGGAGUUAUUUAUUUUUUUAUUUUUAUUUUUUUUUAACCAAUAUUCAACUUUGAGUAGUGUGAGAACACAAAGAAAUAAAACACAGCAUGUCACGCUUGUUUUGACUGAUUAACAUCAUCUGUUUGCAGAACAGCUUGUUCAUGCCUGUGUUUUCAGCAGGCUACAGUAUUAUAAUAGUGUUCACAGUGUUUCAGGUGCUUGCAGUUUGUCCAGAGUGGUGGUUUUUCACCAACAUGAGUACCAUAGCAGUGGCUUCCUGUGGGUCAGAUGAUACACUUUAAUUUCUACUACUUGGUCACACAGAUCUAAGUGUUUUUGGUCCUAAAUACAUCCCUGCUUUACUUAAUGAUGGUGAAUUUUCUGUGAGUAGAUGUAGAACGGCACUGAAGACUUGGGACGCUUGGGUGAAGAUUGACAGGAGAUUAAAGAUUGAACUAAUGUACUACUUUACAUUGUACAAUCUUUUGUAUAGUUCUAACUUUAAGGACAAUAUUGCACUAAUGCACACAUGCACAUUCCAUAAGGAGACACAGGCUGAUAGUUUAGCCACAAUAUGUGUGUGAGCCUUAGGCUGCGGACGUCUGCAGAUCCUGAUCGAGGAGAGCAUCCAAGCAAAGUGUAGGAACAGCAGCGCAAUCUGACCUCAGAACUAAGAGAUGACUAAAACUGUGAGUUAUGUUAGAAUUUCCGUAACACCUGUUUUCAUAUGUGGCACAAGUUUACUCAGUUUUUCAGGAUUAAACACAAUGAAGCAGCUUUUAAUAUUUAUGCUUCUCAUCUGUGGAAAAAAACUUCCUGAAUAACUGGGUUCUCAAGAACUAGCAACUGUUUCAAACCCGGCUAAAGACAAUACUGUCACACAUACAAUUUUAAUUAUAUUCAUUAAUUAAUUACUUUAUAUAUAUUUUUCUAUGAAUCUUUGAACCUGCAAUGGAACCACUGAAGCAGCUUCACAAAACAAAAGGUUCCAUUUUCUAAAACAUCAAAUAUAUGAAUGGAAUAAAGCUCUGGAACUUGCUGCCUAUUCAUCUGAAAUCUGCUACAAACUUUGCCAGCUUCGAGAAACCUACUAAAUCCUGGAUUAUUCAGAAACAAAUCUGUAAUUAUGAUUCAUUUUUAGCUGUAUUGUAGUCUAAAUGUUUAUUGUUUUCAUCCUGCUCUGAUCAUCUUUAAUGUGCACUGGAAUAUAUUUUUUCUGUCUUCAGUUCAUACAUUUUAUUUUACUUUUCUGAUUAUGUAAAAUUAGCAUUUUACCAUUUGAUACAUACAUGUGAUUGCUGUAUAUUUUUGUCCCUGUGCAUAAAUGAAUA